rnacentral:rRNA from 1 species
UACGGGGGGGGCAAGCGUUGUUCGGAAUUACUGGGCGUAAAGGGCUCGUAGGCGGCCAACUAAGUCAUACGUGAAAUCCCUCGGCUUAACCGGGGAACUGCGUCUGAUACUGGAUGGCUUGAGUUCGGGAGAGGGAUGCGGAAUUCCAGGUGUAGCGGUGAAAUGCGUAGAUAUCUGGAGGAAUACCGGUGGCGAAGGCGGCAUCCUGGACCGGCAUUGACGCUGAGGAGCGAAAGCCAGGGGAGCAAACGGG